GUAGGUCGUUAGGUCCGAUCCGUCCUUUCAAGGCGGUAGCACGGGUUCAAAUCCCGUUGGGGCCA
rnacentral:tRNA from 1 species